rnacentral:misc_RNA from 1 species
UUUCCGUAGGUGAACCUGCGGAAGGAUCAUUACUGAAUAAACCUGAUGUGGCUGUUAGCUGGCUUUUCGAAGCAUGUGCUCGUCCGUCAUCUUUAUCUCUCCACCUGUGCACAUUUUGUAGUCUUGGGUACCUCUCGAGGCAACUCGGAUUUUAGGGUCGCUGUGUUGUACAAGUCGGCUUUCCUUUCAUUUCCAAGACUAUGUUUUUAUAUACACCAAAGUAUGUUUAAAGAAUGUCAUCAAUAGGAACUUGUUUCCUAUAUAAUUAUACAACUUUCAGCAACGGAUCUCUUGGCUCUC